GACAGAUGGCCAUGUGUUAAGUACAUCCCUCAUGCCCUGUAGAGAAGGUGGGACCUCUGGGCUGAUCUUUAAGGUUUGUCUCCUGCCCUCCAAGGAAUGGGAUACCAUAAGGCUAAGAUUUAUCCCUAGUGCUGUGAUUUUUUUAAAAUCCAUUUCCCCACACUUCAGAAUUUUAUUGCUUCAAAGAGGCUCGUGAAAUCCUUAGAAAAAUACUUGCCAAGGAGGCUAAGUUUGUUUUAUUCAAUAGGUUAGAAGAAAUUGGGGCAGCACUUGAUACAGCAAGACAACAUCCGGAGGCUUUGGUGACUGGUGUGACCUGUGGUGUGAGUCAGUGGGUGACCAUGUGUCUUUGUAACACUGACUGGAGAAACAUGGGGUUGAGUUAGGGGGAAGCAGGGGCUCCUUUCCUGGGCCUGACCAGCAGCUGUUGAGCAUAUUGUGUCUUAUCUUCACCACCUUGUCACAGUGUCCCGCAGUGUCACAGAGGGAUGUCUUAACAUCUUCAUUACAUUGAGUUCCCAGGGCCAGUGUCAAAGCACCAGGAAGAUCAGAGGGCGGGAAGAUGUGGGCUGGAGAGACAGCAAGCGGGCCCAGAGCAGCAGCACUGAGUUGCCAUUGCUGGCUGGAGCUGGGGCUGCCUGGUGUGUUUAGCAGGGCA
rnacentral:lncRNA from 1 species